GGGGGAUUUCCCGAGUGGCCAAAGGGGACAGACUGUAAAUCUGCUGGCGCUGCCUUCGGUGGUUCGAAUCCACCAUCCCCCACCA
rnacentral:tRNA from 1 species